rnacentral:rRNA from 1 species
GACGAACCACACGAACGUUAUUCGGAAUUACUGGGCUUAAAGGGUGCGUAGGCGGCGCAGAAAGUUGGGUGUGAAAUCCCUCGGCUCAACCGAGGAACUGCGCCCAAAACUACUGUGCUUGAGGAAGAUAGAGGUAAGCGGAACUUACGGUGGAGCGGUGAAAUGCGUUGAUAUCGUAAGGAACACCUGUGGCGAAAGCGGCUUACUGGGUCUUUUCUGACGCUGAUGCACGAAAGCCAGG